rnacentral:rRNA from 1 species
AAAGAUACCAUGGUGAACAAGUUAGAACAUUCAGGUGCGACGACAAGGGAGUUUACACUCGAGUUGUUGAGACAAAUUACAGAUAAUUUUUCUGAGAAGCACGAAAUUGGUCGUGGUGGGUUCGGAAUAGUCUACAAGGGAGUACUGGAUGAUGGGGAAGAGAUUGCUAUCAAAAAGCUUCACUGCGUGCCGGGGCUUGAUGACACACAAUUUAGGAAUGAGUUUAAUAACCUUAUGACAGCCCAACAUCCAAAUAUUACCCGGUUGAUCGGCUACUGUUAUUAUCUAGGACAUCAACGCAUUAAGUACAAUGAUGAAUAUGUUUUUGCCCAUGUGGUAGAAAAAUGUCUGUGCUUUGAAUACUUGAAGAGUGGAAGCCUUGACAAGCAUAUUUCUGAUGAAUCAUGCGGACUAGAUUGGCACACACGCUUCAAAAUUAUUAAGGGAGUUAGUGAGGGCUUAAAUUACCUUCAUAAUGGAUGCAAAGAUUCUAUUUACCAUCUUGACUUGAAACCUGGAAAUAUAUUGCUGGACAAGAACAUGGUCCCAAAAAUUGGAGAUUUUGGUCUGUCAAGACUUUUCCAAUCAGAAAAAACCCAUAUCACAAGCAAAUUUGUGGGAACAGUGUAAGUUGAUGCCUCAAUUCUAAAUAAUCAAUUUAUUCUUCAAAACAAAUUAAAUAUAUACCAUGCAGUGGAUACAUGCCACCAGAAUACAUCAAUAGAGGCGCAAUCACAACGAAGUUUGACAUAUUCAGUUUGGGUGUUAUAAUCGUUCGGAUAGUGGCAGGUCAUGAGGGCUAUUCCAGAUGUGAACAAAUGUCCCCUCAAGAAUUUAUUGAGCAUGUACAUGAAAACUGGAGAAAACGGCUGCAGGAAACAAUGUCAUCGUACACAUCAGAGCAAGUUAAAACAUGCAUUGAAAUAGCUUUAAGGUGUGUGGAGUUUGACCGAGAGAAAAGGCCUACCAUAGCGGAUAUUGUGGAUGAAUUGAAUAAGAUUGAGGAUGCUGGAAGUUCAGCUAUAGGCAAGAUCUCAGAAGAAACUGAGCACUCCCCGGAAAAACAACUUGCGAUUGAAGAACAAAAAAUAGAGUGUACAAAAGAGCAUACCAGAUACGCGAGAACAAAUCGCAUUUCCACUCUCGUGAAGUAUCAUGCAGCAGAGUCAAUUGGUUUCGUAAUUGGUGCCAUGGUCUCCCUCUCUCUGACCCCCAAGCUGGUCGAGCUCCCCAGCGACAAGUACAACUUGCAUGUAAACUGCAAGAAAGAGGUAGAGUACCUCUACAAAGAGUUGGUGCGCAUGCAAGCUGGCCGGCACGACCUGGCCGAGGUGUCGCGAGACCAGCUGGAUGAGGUCGUGAAGCUCUGGGCCGAGGAAGUAAAGGACCUCUUAUAUCAAGAGGAGAACACCGUUGACCUGGAUGAGGUGCCGCGGGACCAGCUGAAUGAUGUUGUUAAGCUCUGGGCCGAGGAAGUAAAGGACCUCUCAUAUCAAGAGGAGAAUACCAUUGACCUUGAUGAGGUGCAGCGGGACCAGCUGAAUGGUGUUGGUAAGCUCUGGGCGAAGGAAGUAAAGGACCUCUCAUAUCAAGAGGAGAAUACCGUUGACCUGAACGAGGUGCCACGGGACCAGCUGCAUGGUGUUGUUAAGCUCUGGGCCGAGGAAGUAAAGGGCCUAUCAUAUCAGGAGGAGAAUACCGUUGACCUGGCCGAGGUGCCGCAGGGCCAGCUGGAUCAGGGGGAGAAUACCGUUGAUUCCUUUAUGGUGUGCUCACCUCGCAAGUCUCUGUCACGCCUGUGAUGGUGGGUAGCACCUCCACAACUCUUUUUUUAGACAAAGCAUCUCAACAACUACUACAGCCUCUACAUGACUCAAGGCUGGCCCAUCGUGAGCAGCCCGUGGGCCAGCGCAGCUACGGAGGAGUCCCCACGUUCGGACAAAAAUGUUAAAAUCGAAGAUAUAUUAAAAAACACUGUUUGAUGAAUAGUAUGGUCUCAAUUGUGUUUUCUUCACUAAGAAUACCACGGGUGUCAAUACUUCAUGAAACUUCACACGUGAAUAGAAUGUUCGAGCAGGUUUGAUAACCCGAUUUUUUUGAAUUUGUAAGAAAAUUCUUGUAUUUUUUGGAAUUUACUAUUAUUGUGAGU